rnacentral:tRNA from 2 species
GGAUUCUUAGCUCAGCUGGUCAGAGCGCUCGGCUCAUAACCGAUUGGUCGUAGGUUCAAGUCCUACAGAAUCCACCAC